UACGUAGGUGGCAAGCGUUGUCCGGAUUUACUGGGCGUAAAGGAUGCGUAGGUGGAUAUUUAAGUGGGAUGUGAAAUACCCGGGCUCAACUUGGGUGCUGCAUUCCAAACUGGAUAUCUAGAGUGCAGGAGAGGUAAGUGGAAUUCCUAGUGUAGCGGUGAAAUGCGUAGAGAUUAGGAAGAACACCAGUGGCGAAGGCGACUUACUGGACUGUAACUGACACUGAGGCAUGAAAGCGUGGGGAGCAAACAGGAUUAGAAACCCCCGUAGUCC
rnacentral:rRNA from 1 species